AGUUUACUAAAAAUCAUAAAGUCUUUUUGCUUUUGGUUGCAGAUUAUUGGCUUCUAAUUUUGACUCCUUUCAUCUAUAUCGCCAGAGAACUGUGUUGAAAUACCUACAGAAAAGUGAGUCUUGAAUUGUUCGGUACUUCGGUCUUCCAAACAAAUAAAAAAUAAUAGAAACUGGUUCCUCUUGGUUUCCCGGUCACAACACCAAUUACCAUAAUAGAAGGGAAAAGGUGUCUCUUAAAGUAUUUGAUUUUUGAAGCAUAUAUCGAUUACUGUCCGUAUUCGCCCAAUCUAACUCCAACGUAAAGUUUCAACUCUUGAAUCAAUGGAAAUUCUAAGCUCUGUUGCUGGAAAAGUAGCAGAGUAUACUGUGGCACCCAUUGGAAGGCAAUUCAGCUAUCUAAUAUUCUAUAAAGCCAAUUUUAAGGAGCUAGGUAAACGUGUUACAGAUCUUGAGGGCAAAAGAGACGAAAUCAAGCAACGUGUUGAAGAAGAAAGAAGGAAUGGGAAAACAACUUUUGAUGUUGUGCAGAAUUGGUUGAACAAUGUAGAUGAUGCCAUUGGAGAAGCAAAUCAGCUUCAAAAUGAUCCUCGUCAUGCGAAGGUUGGGUGUUCCAGAUGUUCAUUUCCUAAUGUGGUGACACGUCAUCAACUCAGUAGAAAAGCUACGAAAAUUGUCAAAAAUGUUGUUGAUAUAAAGGGAGAAGGGAACUUUUCCGCAGUAGCUUAUCUUCCUGCUCUUGAUGUAGUCUCAACAUCUACCACAAGGAGUAACAAAAACUUGGAGUCAAGGAAAUCUAUUACGGAGAAUAUCAUGCAUGCUCUACGAGACCCCAAAGUAAGCAUGGUGGGAGUGUAUGGGCUUGGUGGUGUGGGUAAGACCACUCUUAUGAAUGAAGUUGCUCAAAUAGCUAAGCAUGAGAGGUUGUUUGAUGAGGUGGUCAUAGCCACUGUGUCAAAAACUCCAGACAUCAAAACAAUUCAACGGGAGAUUGCUGAUCAGUUGGGUCUUCAAUUCAGGGACGAGAGUGUUGCUUGUAGAGGGAAGCGCUUACAUGACAGAAUUAAAACAGAGAGAUCAAUCUUGAUAAUAUUGGAUGAUAUAUGGGCAAGACUUGAUUUGGAGAUGCUCGGAAUUCCUUCUGGCAGUGAACAUGGUAGUUGCAAAUUGUUAAUGACUUCUCGAAAUAAUGAUGUGCUGCAAGUAAUGGAUGUUCAAAAGGAUUUCAAGCUUGAUGUUUUAAGUGAGGAAGAAAAUUGGAUCAUGUUUGAAUCUCUGGCUGGCGAUACUGUACAUGAUAUCAAUAUAAAAGGAACAGCAAUUGAAAUUGCAAAAAGAUGUGCAGGUUUGCCUCUUCGGCUGGUAACGGUUGCGAGGGCAUUGAAAAAUAAAAAACUUUAUGCCUGGAAAGAUGCAUUAACCCGGUUAGUGUUGGAUGGUGCCAAUAGUGGAGACAUGGAUGCGGUCACUUAUUCAGCACUGGAAUUGAGUUACAAUUGGUUGGAAUCUGAGGAGAUGAAGGAUGUACUCUUGCUUUGUUCCGUAAUGGGAUCCUUUUUUAUUCCAGAGUACAUAGUGACAUGCGCCAUGGGUUUAGACCUAUUUAAAGGAAUAAACACACUAGCCGCUGCAAGAAAUAGGUUAUUCAGAAUACUUGACACCUUGAAGGCCUCUUGUCUGAUGUAUGAAGGUCGUAUGUCUUCUUGUCUGUUGUAUGUGCAUGACAUUGUUCGUGAAGUAGCUGUAUCCAUAGCAAAACGGGAUCGCCAUGUUUUUACAACAAAGCAUGGAGAUGCCUUGAAGGAAUGGCCGACAGAGGGAUUUCUAAGAAGCUGCUCCCAGAUUGUCCUGGAUAAUUGCAUCAUCAAUAAGCUUCCUGAAAAGUUAGAUUGUCCUAAUCUUUUGCUUUUUGUAUUGAAUAGUGCUGAUCGUUCUCUGGAAAUCCCUGAUUCUUUCUUUGAGGGAAUGAAAAGCCUCAAAGUGUUAGAAUUGAGAUGCAUAAACUUGCCUUUGUUACCAACAUCUAUUUGUGGGCUAACUAGCCUUCAAACAUUGCACUUGUUUAUAUGUGUUCUACAAAGUAUGGAUGGAAUAGGAGCUUUGAAAAAUCUAGAAAUUCUUAACCUCUGGUGUUCUUCCAUGAUAAACUUUCCUAGUGAAAUUGGUCAGUUGACUAAGCUAAAAAUGUUACUUAUGUGCUACUCUGGAGUUGAAGUCAUCCCGCAAAACAUCAUAUCAAGAUUGAUCAGUUUGGAGGAGUUUUACAUGAGAGGUAUUUCAAUUGAUUGGAAUGGUGAAAAUUUAGUCAGCAAAACAAAAAAUGCCAGCCUUGAUGAAUUCCGACAGUUGUUGAACUUGACAGCUCUAGGAUUAGAAGUUCGUGAGGCUUGCAUGUUGCCAAGUGAUCUGAUGUUUGAUAAAUUAGAAAGGUACAAUAUAGCUAUUGGAGAUGUCUGGGAAGGGUUUGAUAUUGAUGAUGAAACACUGAAGACGUUGAAGCUCAAGCUUGAGACCAAUAUUCACUUGGAGCCCGGGAUCAAAGGAUUGAUUAAAAGAGCAGAGAAUUUGUAUUUGGAUGAAGUUGGAGGCAUUUCGAAUGUACUCUAUCAAUUGAAUGGAGACGGAUUUCCUCAACUGAAGCACCUCCACAUCCAAAAUAAUGCCUUAAUUCAGCACAUCAUUGAUUUUAAAGAGAGGACUCAUGUUCCAUCCCCCUCAUUUCCAAACCUGGAAAAACUGGUCAUUCAGAAUCUCGAUCAGAUGGAGAAAAUUUAUGAUGGGCCACUUGCGAACAAUUCUUUUGCCAAGCUCCAGGCCAUCAAAGUUGAAAACUGUAAUAAAGUGAAAUAUCUUCUCUCUGUUUCCAUAGUUAAAAGCAUGUCUCAGCUUUCAGAGCUCGAAGUUUCUCGAUGCAAACUUAUGGAAAGGAUCGUGUUUGAAGAUGGUGAUGCAAGUGCAAUGAAUGACGAAACUGUUGAAACCAUUCAGUUUCCAUUGCUCCAUUCUCUAACUUUACAACAUUUGGAUGAGCUUAAAAGUUUCUUUUCUCAUCAGCCAACAUCUUCUGCUAUACCCCUUUUUAACAAUCAAGUUGCAUUUCCUAAUUUGGACACUUUGAAGUUGAGCUCACUCAAUUUGAGCAAAAUUUGGAAGGAUAAUCGACACUCUUUUUACAAAUUGAGAAAUUUGAUUGUUGAAAAUUGUGAUGGUCCAAAGUAUUUGUUCUCAUCUACUAUGGUGGAGAGUUUUUCCAACCUCAUAAAGCUUGAAAUAAGUGAAUGCCAUCUAAUGGAGGAGAUAAUAGAUCCGGUAGACAGGGACAACAAUAUUAUCACGCUAGAAGAGGUUCGAUUCUCCAAAUUGCAAACAAUUAUCUUAAAGGACAUGAAGAGUUUGAAGAAGAUAUGGUACAAAGAAUUUUCUAAAGUGAAGACAUUACAAGUCAACAAUUGUGAGAAAAUUAGAGUAAUUUUUCCUUCUUCGAUGCAGAAAGCAUAUAAUGAUCUAGAGGCAUUAAUGGUAAUCGAUUGUGUUUCAGUAGAAGAGAUAUUUCAACUGAGUUCUGAUGAAAAUUGUAAUACAGAACGAACACAACUUAAAAAAAUUACUCUAAAAAAAUUGCCAAAGCUAAAACAAAUAUGGAGCAAGGAUCUUGAAGGAGCUCUUUGCUUUUGCAAUCUAGAGGAAAUAUAUGUAGAGAACUGCGAAAACUUGGAAUUUGUAUUUCCAUGUUCAGUAGCCACAAGUUGCUCGCAUCUUAAAGAACUUUCAAUUAAAUGGUGUGGAAACAUGAAGCAAAUUGUUGCAUUGAAGGAUGAACCGACGGUCUCAACUACUUCCUUUGAGUUUAACCAUUUAAACACUUUGUUGCUUUGGAGGUUAUAUAAUCUCAAAGGGUUCUAUGCAGGAAAUCACACAUUAACAUGUCCAUCUUUGAGAAAAUUAGAUGUUACACUAUGUGUGAAAUUAAAUUUGUACAGAACCCUUUCUACAAGUGGCCAUCAAAAGCUUCCUGAUCAAGCAUACAUUGUUUCAACGGAGCAACAGUUGGUAGCUGAACAGGUAAUUCCUAAUUUGGAACACUUGAGAAUAGACGAAAAGGAUGCUAGCAAGAUAUUUCAAUCCCAAAAUAUAGGUCCUUUCUUCAACAAAAUAUCAUCUCUUAGUCUGUGUAUGUAUGAGGACGAAGGUUCUACUUUUCCCAAUCAGGUUUUGCAGAAUAUAUGCAGUUUGAAAUCGCUAGGCGUUGAGUGGAGUUCCUUUAAGAAGAUAUUUCAAGAUAAAAGACUUGGAGAGAAAAAGAAUUGUGCAAAACUCCAACGGUUAACACUGCAUCAAUUACCAAAUCUUCAACAUAUAUGUGAAGAAGGACUGCAAAUUGACCCAGUUCUUGAGCUUCUUGAAUCGUUAUGUGUUGAUGGAUGUUCAAGUUUGAAAAACCUGGUUCCUUCCUCUGUUAGCUUUUGCUAUUUGACCUAUCUUGAGGUAGUAAAUUGUAAUAGUAUGAUAAACUUACUUUCACCUCCUACAGCAAGAAGUCUAACCCAGCUCAUAGUAAUGAAGGUAAUACAAUGUGAUUCACUUGAGGAAAUAAUAUCCAAAGAGGGUGAAGAGAUGACAAAUGACAUCAUAUUUUUCUGUUUGGAAACUUUGGUGUUGGAUUGUUUACCAGGACUCGGUAGGUUUUGCUCGCAAAAGUGCUUUCUAAGGUUCCCAUUGUUGCAUGAGGUACUAGUUAGAGAAUGUGCUCGCAUGAUGUACUUCUCUGAGGGGAACACGACAAGCACACCAAUGCUUCAAAAAGUACAAACAUCAGAGAAUAGUAAAGAAUUUUCUUGGAAAGGAAAUUUGAAUGGCACCAUAAAAAACAUGUUUGAAGAUAAGGUACGUAGUUUCAAGGAUUUAAAUCUAUCAAAAUAUCCUGAGCUAAAAGAGUUAUGGUAUGGUCAACUUCGGAGCAAUAUAUUCAACAAUUUGAAGAAGUUAGUGGUUCACAAUUGUGAGUUUUUAACCGAUGUGCUCUUUUAUCCAAAUUUAAUAGAUGCGCUUGUGAAUUUGGAAGAACUAGAUGUAAGAGACUGUAAUUCUUUAAUGGCUGUGUUUGAUAUUGUGAAAGAAACAUUUGCGGAAGAAAUUGUGGUAAAGAAAUGUUCUCUUUUGAAAAAGUUAAUUCUUUGCAGUCUUCCAAAUUUGAAGCAUAUUUGGAAGGAAGAUCCCAACACAACUUUGAGCUUUCAGAAUCUAUGUCAAGUCUCUGUUAUGGAUUGUCCAAGCUUAAAAAGUCUCUUUCCACUCUCUGUAGCUAUUGAUAUGGCCCAACUUGAAGGCCUUGUAGUAUCAAGAUGUGGGAUUGAGGAGAUAGUUGAUAAUAAAAGACAGACAAGGGAGAUGAUUAAAUUUGUGUUUCCUCAUUUAAGGACCUUGUGGCUACAAAAGUUGCUUAAACUGAGGACAUUCUUUUCUAGCAUCUAUUCUAUUCAAUGUAAAUCUUUGAUAGAUUUGUUUGUGGUCAACUGUCCAAAAUUGACGCUAUUUCAGACAACAUAUCUCAGUUGCCAAGAGCGAGCUUCGGAUGAUAAAAUUUCUAUCCCAAUGCAUCAACCUCUUUUCCCAGUUGAAGAGGUACUUCCAAACUUGUAUACUUUGGCAGUGAACAAUAAUGAUGUUGAGGUUAUAUUGCAAAGCAUGUAUUCACAACACCAAUACGACAAACUUGAACUUCUUAGGGUGAUCCAAUUUGAAACAGAAGGCACCACAUUCCCAUAUUGGUUUUUGGAAAAUACGCAGAAUUUGGAGACACUAAUUGUAGAAUGGAGUUCUUUUGUAGAAAUAUUUCAUGAUCAAAGCAUUGCUAGUGAGGAGGGACAAGUCACAAUUAGCACACGGCUAAGGAACCUUACUCUAAAUGAGCUACAUGACCUUGGUCAUAUAUGUAAAGAAGGAUUUGAAAUUGACCCUGUUCUCCAACAUCUUGAACAGAUAGAUGUUGCUCAGUGUUCUACUUUGGUAAACUUGGUGCCUUCCUCUGUUACCUUUACUUGCUUGACACAUUUGGAGGUAGUAAACUGCAAUGGAAUGAUCAAUUUGAUAACAUGCUCAACAGCAAAGAGUCUUGUCAAGCUCACAACAAUGAAAAUUGAAUCAUGCAAUUUACUACAAGAUAUAGUGAAUGCAAAUGAAAAUGAGGAAGACAAAGAAAUUGCAUUCUCCAGCUUAGAGACACUAGAACUUGUGUCUUUACCAAGGUUGCGUAGGUUUUGCUCAUGCAAAUGCUCCCUUCUAUUUCCGCUGUUGGAGAAUGUAUUUGUGGAAGGAUGCCAUCGAAUGGAAGUUUUCUCUAUAGGAGACACAAGCACACCAAAUCUUCAAAAAGUUCAAAUAGAAGAUUUGAAUGGAACAAUAAACAAAAUGUUUGAGGAUAAGGUAUCAUUUUGUAUAUCCAAACAUUUGACCCUGUCUGAUUAUCCAGAGUUGAGAGAUUUUUGGUAUGUCAAAGAAUAUCAUAAUUUAUUUAGCAAUUUAAAAUCUCUAGUGGUGCAAAAAUGUGACUUUUUAUCAACUGUUCUUUUUACGUCAAACACAUUACAAGUUCUUCAUGAAUUAGAAGAACUGGAAGUAAGGAAUUGUGAUUCAUUAGUAACACUGUUUGAUGUGAAAGAAAUGAAGUCUAAUGGAGCAAUGGUGAAACAAGCUAGCAAAUUGAAAAAAUUAAGCUUGUCUAGCUUACUGAAGUUAAGGCACAUAUGGAAUGCAGACCCUUGCGAAAUUGUGAGUUUUGAAAACUUGUGCACAGUGGAUGUUGUUGAGUGCAAAAGUCUCUUGUAUUUAUUUCCACUCUCAGUAUGCCUUGAUCUCCCAUAUAUUGAAAAGUUGAAUAUAGAGUCUUGUGGAGUUGAAGAAAUUGUUUCAGUGGAGAAAGAAUCAACUGAAAUCAACUUUACCUUUCCUCACUUGAGUUACUUGAAAUUUUUUCAACUGGAAAAACUCAAGAGUUUCUAUAUGGGAAGAUUUACUUUAGAGUGCCCUUCAUUAAAGACAUUAAAUGUAUAUCGCUGUGAGGCGCUACAAAUGUUUACUUUCAACCAUUCAGUUCUCCAACAGCCUCAUCAGAUAGAAGAAAUUCAUGAUGCGCUUAUUCCUCAAGCACUCUUUUCUAUUGAAAAGCUAAGCCGCAACUUAUUGGAAGAAUUGGCACUAAAUGGCAAGGAUGCAUUGAUGAUAAUCAAUGGCCACAUGGAAGAAGCUAAAUUUCCAAAAGUGAAGGUUCUUCGCAUGCAAUGCCUUUGUGACACACAACUUACUUGUUGGAAUGAUUUACCUGAAAUAUUUCCCAAUGUAGUGGGUCUUCAAGUAAGACAAAGUUCUAUGCAAACAUUGUUUCCCGUUGAAGGAACUGCUCAUUGCAGUACAAGAAUUGCUCAGCAAGUGACGUCAUUGGUGCUUUUUGAAAUGGAACAUCUCAAACAUAUUUGGCACGAAGAAUCUCUAUCUGAUCAACCUGUCCCUCAAAAUCUUGAGAUUUUAACUGUUCACACUUGUCCUAAUAUGGUAAGCGUGGUGUCAUCUUCAGUGUUAUUCCAAAGUUUGAAAGAGUUGCAUGUUGAAAACUGCAAAGGGAUGACUCAUUUGAUAACAUCCUUGCUUGCUAAAAGGCUAAUGCAACUAGAAAUGCUGACAAUAAAAAAUUGUGAGAUGAUAAAGGAUGUUGUGAAUGUUGAUGAUGAAGAAGAAGAAGCAGAGGAAGAUAUCAUAUUUGAGAACUUGCAAUACUUAGAACUCUUUGCUCUGAUUAGUUUGAGAAGUUUUUGCUAUGGGAAACAUACACUCGUAUUCCCAUCUUUGACUCAGUUCAUUGUCAAAGGAUGCCCUCAAAUGGGGAUUUUCUCACCAGGAUCCAUUGUAGCACCAAUUUUGAGGGGAGUUGAAGUGGAAAAUAAAAGAAAACGAUGGAAAGGUGAUCUUAAUACUACUAUUGAACAAUUAUUCAAAGAUAAUCAGGAAGUCUCACAAUUUAAUGAGGAUUAAGGUCAUUCGAAAAGUCAGCCUACUCUAUUUGCACGCGAUAUGCAUGGGUACCCUCGAUAUCCAAUCAGCAAUUCAGCAUCAAUCUAUCUAUGUGUCACUCCUUGCAUUGGCUUGAUGUUUCCAUGAAGACCACCAAACAAUAAAGCGACAUGUUACUCUAGUGAAAAGGCUUCUGUCUCAGUCUCACAGAUACUCAUUAUCAGAGUUUUCUCCUACACUAGCAUCUUCUUUGAAUAAUUAAAAAAGUGCAAAAAUUAUCGAGUAAUUGUAAUCAAUUGAAGAUUUUACAACUAUUAGAAAACCCAAACCAUAGCUAUAUGUAUGUUAAAAUCGUAUGCA